CAGUAGCCGCGGUAAUACGAAGGGGGCUAGCGUUGUUCGGAAUUACUGGGCGUAAAGCGCACGUAGGCGGACAUUUAAGUCAGGGGUGAAAUCCCAGAGCUCAACUCUGGAACUGCCUUUGAUACUGGGUAUCUUGAGUAUGGAAGAGGUGAGUGGAAUUCCGAGUGUAGAGGUGAAAUUCGUAGAUAUUCGGAGGAACACCAGUGGCGGAGGCGGCUCACUGGUCCAUUACUGACGCUGAGGUGCGAAAGCGUGGGGAGCAAACAGGAUUAGAUACCCCAGUAGUCCCUGUCUCUUAUAC
rnacentral:rRNA from 1 species